rnacentral:rRNA from 1 species
AGUGAACGCUGGCGGUAGGCCUAACACAUGCAAGUCGAACGGCAACACAGUAAGAGCUUGCUCUUACGGGUGGCGAGUGGCGGACGGGUGAGGAAUACAUCGGAAUCUACUAUUUCGUGGGGGAUAACGUAGGGACACUUACGCUAAUACCUCAUACGACCUACGGGUGAAAGCAGGGGAUAUUCGCACCUUGCGCGAUUGAAUUAGCCGAUGUCGGAUUAGCUAGUUGGCGGGGUAAAGGCCCACCAAGGCGACGAUCCGUAGCUGGUCUGAGAGGAUGAUCAGCCACACUGGAACUGAGACACGGUCCAGACUCCUACGGGAGGCAGCAGUGGGGAAUAUUGGGCAAUGGGCGCAAGCCUGAUCCAGCCACGCCGCGUGGGUGAAGAAGGCCUUCGGGUCGUAAAGCCCUGUUGUUGGGAAAGAAAAGCAGCAGGUUAAUACCCCGAUGUUCUGACGGUACCCAAAGAAUAAGCAACGGCUAACUACGUG